CGUCUAAUACCGGAUACGACCCGCCACCUCAUGGUGGAGGGUGGAAAGUUUUUCGGUCAGGGAUGGGCUCGCGGCCUAUCAGCUUGUUGGUGGGGUAACGGCCUACCAAGGCGAUUACGGGUAGCCGGCCUGAGAGGGCGACCGGCCACACUGGGACUGAGACACGGCCCAGACUCCUGCGGGAGGCAGCAGUGGGGAAUAUUGCGCAAUGGGCGAAAGCCUGACGCAGCGACGCCGCGUGGGGGAUGACGGCCUUCGGGUUGUAAACCUCUUUUACCACCAACGCAGGCUUCCAGUUCUCUGGAGGUUGACGGUAGGUGGGGAAUAAGGACCGGCUAACUACGUGCCAGCAGCCGCGGUAAUACGUAGGGUCCGAGCGUUGUCCGGAAUUAUUGGGCGUAAAGAGCUCGUAGGCGGCGUGUCGCGUCUGCUGUGAAAGACCGGGGCUUAACUCCGGUUCUGCAGUGGAUACGGGCAUGCUAGAGGUAGGUAGGGGAGACUGGAAUUCCUGGUGUAGCGGUGAAAUGCGCAGAUAUCAGGAGGAACACCGGUGGCGAAGGCGGGUCUCUGGGCCUUACCUGACGCUGAGGAGCGAAAGCAUGGGGAGCGAACAGGAUUAGAUACCCUGGUAGUCCAUGCCGUAAACGUUGGGCGCUAGGUGUGGGGACUUUCCACGGUUUCCGCGCCGUAGCUAACGCAUUAAGCGCCCCGCCUGGGGAGUACGGCCGCAAGGCUAAAACUCAAAGGAAUUGACGGGGGCCCGCACAAGCGGCGGAGCAUGUUGCUUAAUUCGACGCAACGCGAAGAACCUUACCAAGGUUUGACAUCACCCGUGGACU
rnacentral:rRNA from 1 species